rnacentral:lncRNA from 1 species
CGUGUUCAACUUAGUUCACAAAGUUUCUCACAAUAUUGCUUAGAGGUUAAAUCUGGCGCCACUGUCUAUGGGAGUUUUCUUACGGGCGCUAUGCCAUCACGGGAAUGACGGUAUCACGACGGUAUAUGGGUGUG